rnacentral:rRNA from 1 species
UCGAACGCUUCAUCGGGGCUUCGGCACCGAUGGGGAGUGGCGCACGGGUGAGUAUCGCGUGGGAACCUGCCCAGUAGUGGGGGAUAACCGAGGGAAACUUCGGCUAAUACCGCAUGCGCCCCAGGGCAACUCGGGGGAAAGAUUUAUCGCUAUUGGAGGGGCCCGCGUCGGAUUAGCUUGUUGGUGGGGUAACGGCCUACCAAGGCAGUGAUCCGUAGCUGGUCUGAGAGGAUGAUCAGCCACACUGGGACUGAGACACGGCCCAGACUCCUACGGGAGGCAGCAGUGGGGAAUAUUGGACAAUGGGCGCAAGCCUGAUCCAGCAAUGCCGCGUGAGUGAGGAAGGCCUUAGGGUUGUAAAGCUCUUUCGCACGCGACGAUNAUGACGGUAGCGUGAGAAGAAGCCCCGGCUAACUUCGUGCCAGCAGCCGCGGUAAUACGAAGGGGGCGAGCGUUGUUCGGAUUUACUGGGCGUAAAGGGCGCGCA